UACGAAGGGGGCUAGCGUUGCUCGGAAUCACUGGGCGUAAAGGGUGCGUAGGCGGGUCUUUAAGUCAGGGGUGAAAUCCUGGAGCUCAACUCCAGAAACUGCCUUUGAUACUGAAGAUCUUGAGUUCGGGAGAGGUGAGUGGAACUGCGAGUGUAGAGGUGAAAUUCGUAGAUAUUCGCAAGAACACCAGUGGCGAAGGCGGCU
rnacentral:rRNA from 1 species